rnacentral:rRNA from 1 species
AUUGAACGCUGGCGGCAUGCCUUACACAUGCAAGUCGAACGGUAACAGGUCUUCGGAUGCUGACGAGUGGCGAACGGGUGAGUAAUACAUCGGAACGUGCCCGAUCGUGGGAUAACGCAGCGAAAGCUGUGCUAAUACCGCAUACGAUCUACGGAUGAAAGCGGGGGAUCGCAAGACCUCGCCUGGACGGAGUGGCCGAUGGCAGAUUAGGUAGUUGGUGGGGUAAAGGCUCACCAAGCCUGCGAUCUGUAGCUGGUCUGAGAGGACGACCAGCCACACUGGGACUGAGACACGGCCCAGACUCCUACGGGAGGCAGCAGUGGGGAAUUUUGGACAAUGGGCGCAAGCCUGAUCCAGCCAUGCCGCGUGCAGGAUGAAGGCCUUCGGGUUGUAAACUGCUUUUGUACGGAACGAAAAGGUUCUUUCUAAUAAAGAGAGCUCAUGACGGUACCGUAAGAAUAAGCACCGGCUAACUACGUGCCAGCAGCCGCCGUAAUAC